rnacentral:rRNA from 2 species
UACAGAGGGUGCAAGCGUUAAUCGGAUUUACUGGGCGUAAAGCGUGCGUAGGCGGCUAUUUAAGUCGGAUGUGAAAGCCCUGGGCUUAACCUGGGAACUGCAUUCGAUACUGGGUAGCUGGAGAUCGGUAGAGGGCGGCGGAAUUCCGGGUGUAGCGGUGAAAUGCGUAGAUAUCCGGAGGAACACCGAUGGCGAAGGCAACCGCCUGGGCCUGAUCUGACGCUGAGGCACGAAAGCGUGGGGAGCAAACAGG